rnacentral:lncRNA from 1 species
AAUUACUGUUACAGCACUGUAGCACACUGUAGCGUUUCGUUUGUAUUUGUGAAUUAUUGUCCAAAUAUUGACUAAUUAGGCUCAAAAGAUUCGUCUCGCAAAGUACAACAAAACUGUGCAAUUAGUUUUUAAUUUCAUCUACAUUUAGUACUCCAUGCAUGUACCGCAAGUUUGAUGUGAUGGGGAAUCUUCUUUUUGCAUAGUGUCAAAGUUGGGAGUUGGGAGUAACUAAACAUGGCCCAACA